rnacentral:lncRNA from 1 species
CAACCAUUGGCUUUGGAAGGGAUGGCGGAGGGGAGGCAGCUGACUCAGACUUCAUUUUAGUGUAGGCAAGCCCACAGCAGGCUCGGUGCAGCAGCAAAAGAGGCCAGCAACAGGAAUCUGCAGGAGCUACAGCUCUGAGGGAGAGAAACCUUGCUCUCAGUUCAGAAGAACCGCAGCUCCAAGAAGGAAGGACACCUGAGGCACAUGCUCUUCACUGGCACCCAGGCUACUAUAGUAGAAUUGAGUGUCAGUUGUCCACAGAGAACAGAGAAGGCAGGAGCACCUUUGCUGAGUCAAUAAGGAUACCACCUGCCUACGAACCACGGAUGCCAUUCUUGAACAUUCUUCUCAGCCCUUAAAUGCAUGUAAAUUAUAUGACAUUGUGUUGAAUACAUAUAAUUGUCUUUGUGGCUCUCUGUGGUUAACUAAAUUGUAGGUAUUGUUCUUGUUCUUAUGUAUUCAUUAGGACAGGUAAAUUAAUUUAAGCUGUGGUGUAAACAAGAAAAAAUGGAAUGACUUCAGAAAAGCAGCCAUUUCUUACACAGUGUAUCUAUCAGUUCCAAUCAUUUUCAGAGGGAGAGUCCUCCAAAAAUAAUUUUUUUUUUUUUUUUUUGCUACAGAAGGAUAGUUGAAAAGUAUCCUCAAAUACAAGGUCAGGUUAAUGCUUGUGCAACAUACAGAAAGAGUGGAUAAAAGAGCCUUGGAUGAAUGAACAAAUCACGCAGGUGUAAAGCACUUAGACAGAGGUGAUAACAUGAGCCAAAUGUUUACUUUUGAAAUGACUUUCUUCUCUAAAUUAUAACGAUGGGAAAUAAGAAAAACACCCCAAAGCAGGUAAUAUUCCAGCAUACUAUUUUUAAUAUCUCUGACAUAUAAGAUUGUGUAGGAAGGCAAUACAAAGCCUAGCUAGGAAGAAGAAAAGAGGAUUAAUUUUGUAAAGGAGACAUAAUAAUGCCACAGGUUUAAUUUAUCUCAAGCAAUGUCAUCCAGCUAAAGCAGGAAACAAUUAUGAUACAGAACGUUGAACGUGGACUAAUCAUUUUAAUGACUAAUGGAAAAAGCUAUAAUAGAUUUUUCACCCAGAAAUUUAUAGAGUUAAGUAACACCACAGUUGCCUUCGUACCACUCUCCCCAGUUCAUUUCGGCACAGGAACUUGGCAACAGUCAAAGUCCUCUGCCUUUAGCUACCACUCACUGAAAAAGCAACAUUUCAAACCACAAAAACACUCAUGUUAACACCUUCUGACAACUUAAUGAAAAGGUAGCAACUGACUCACAACUUAUUAUCAAAUGUGGAAAAGCACGCUCUAGAAGGAAACUUUCAACAGCUCAUCCAUCAUCCAACAAACCUUCACAGAGUACAGUAUUUUCUGUCAAGCAGUGUGUCCAGAAAUGAGAAAGGGGUUGAAUACAGGGUAGAAUUCUUCCCAGGAUAUGCCCCUUGUAAUAAAAUAGAUUACUAAUCAGAUAUAAAACACAGUGACAUAGGGGCCAGAAGAAAGAAACGCCCAGGAGACUGUAGGAACUCAGGACAGGACUAACCAGUGGGUGGGUCAGAGGAGAUUCCUGGAUAUGCCAAUGCCUGGAAUGAGAGAACCUGGAAACUCAGAGAAACUGAGCAUCCCAAGUUCACCUGAAAUGGGAAGUUAACAUGUGGGGCUGGAAAGAGGUGCCUGAGAAGGUAGGCAAGGGCAAAUCUUGUGGGCCUUAUUUGCCAGUGCUAAGCAGCUUGGGUUUGUUUAACAGGCAAAGGGGACUCACUAAGAGAUUUUCAGCCAAGGGGAGAGAUCGGGGAGAAUCGUGUGGAGUGUAAGAUUUAAAAUUUAGGGAGACCAGCCUGGAAGCAGGGAGAGAAUGGAUUGCAGAGGUAACUGAAUUAGCAAAACUGGGAAGUGGCUGCUACAGGAAUCCAGGUAACAGUAAUCUCAAAAUCAAUGAGAGCAUGAAUUAAGACGAUGCAGAGGGAUGUGAGAUGAGGGGGAAAAUUAAAAAAAUAUAUUUAGGAGACAGAAUCACUAGUAUUUGAUGAAUGAUAGAUGUGAGGUGUCAGUGAGGUAAGGGAAUCAAAGACUCUUCCAGGUUUCUAGCUUGCACUGUUAAUUGGGACAGUGUAUCAGAAUUGUUCCUCAAGACUGAAUGUGACAGACUCUGUACAUGCUGUAACAACAGUAUCUGAUGAUGUAAAUAUUGGAAAUAAAAAUUAUCAUGAC